GGAGGGGAUUGAUACUAAUCAACUCGGCCAACAGUCGAUCAAAAAUGCAACUAAAGCCAUCAUUAUACUCCUAAUCGAAUUAUAGAAACAUUACACAAUGUACUACCUGCAAUAGUUAUCCCUGCCGUCGUAUCUCACUCUAUGAUUCCGUCGGCGUACCUCCACUGGGUACUUUUUGCAACACAGUCGGUGCAGAUACCUUAGUCAACAUGUUC
rnacentral:lncRNA from 1 species